ACUUGGAUAACUGUGGUAAUUCUAGAGCUAAUACAUGCUAAAAACCUCGACUUCGGAAGGGGUGUAUUUAUUAGAUAAAAAACCAAUGCCCUUCGGGGCUCCUUGGUGAUUCAUAAUAACUUAACGAAUCGCAUGGCCUUGCGCCGGCGAUGGUUCAUUCAAAUUUCUGCCCUAUCAACUUUCGAUGGUAAGAUAGUGGCUUACCAUGGUCUUAACGGGUAACGGGGAAUUAGGGUUCUAUUCCGGAGAGGGAGCCUGAGAAACGGCUACCACAUCCAAGGAAGGCAGCAGGCGCGCAAAUUACCCAAUCCCAAUACGGGGAGGUAGUGACAAUAAAUACUGAUACAGGGCUCUUUUGGGUCUUGUAAUUGGAAUGAGUACAAUUUAAAUCCCUUAACGAGGAACAAUUGGAGGGCAAGUCUGGUGCCAGCAGCCGCGGUAAUUCCAGCUCCAAUAGCGUAUAUUAAAGUUGUUGCAGUUAAAAAGCUCGUAGUUGAACUUUGGGUCUGGCUGAUCUGUCCUCCUAAUCGAGCGCACGGAUUCGGUCGGACCUUUCCUUCUGGGGAACCCUAUGC
rnacentral:rRNA from 1 species